rnacentral:tRNA from 2 species
GGCGGGGUAGCUCAGUUGGUUAGAGCGCGGGACUCAUAAGCCCGAGGUCAGUGGUUCAAUUCCACUUCCCGCUACCA